CGUCGUCGCGGCUUCUACUCCGCACCAUCGUCCUUCUUCUACUUCCCUGAGAAAUCAAUAGAAAAAAAAAUUGAAGAACAAGGAGAGAGAUCAACAAUGUCGGAUCACAAUCCUCAAUCUUCGAGCUUCAAUGCCCUAAGCAUCGACCUCGCUGAAUCCAUCUUCUCUCUCCUCCCAAUCCCUUCCCUCGUCCGGUCCUCCGCUGUAUGCAAGCUCUGGCGCUCCAUCAUCACCUCCCUUCGUCUUCCUUCUCCAUCUCCAUCUCCAUCUCCCUGGCUCUUCCUCUUCGGCAUCCACAACACCUCCUCCUUCCACAACCAGUCCUUCGCCUUCGACCCUCUCUCCGACACCUGGCUCCGCCUUCCCUCCGCCACCGCCUCUUCCUUCCCUUCUCUCUACCUUGUCGGCUCCGACGGGUUUCUUUUCUCCACCGCUCCGAGAUUCUCCUUCUCCCCAAUCCUCAAACCUCGGUGGCGGUUCACUUCUCCGGUGCGGUUUCAUCGGAUUAGCCCUCUUUUGGGGGUUUUCUCCGGCGAGAACGGCUCGAUGAAGUUCAUCCUCGUCGGAGGCGUCGGAUUCAUCGGUGGAUUGGUUGAGGACAUCGAGGAUCGUGAAGUCGUCGAGGUCUACGAUCCUGUUCUCGAUUCGUGGGAGAUGUGUCCGCCACUUCCCGCCGAUUUCAGAUCAGGUUACGCUUAUCAAACUCUAUCCGCCGCUCUGUUCAAGAGAAGAUUCUACGUUUUCGGAAUCUAUUCAUGCUUUGUCACCUCCUUCUGCUUGGAUUCAUACACUUGGAGCGAUGUUCAAACACUCAGACCACCUGGGCUUCUCUUUGCUUCCCUGAAUUCCUGCAGCAACAUGCUUGUUCUUGGUGGAAUGUGUCUCUCCACUCGUGGGUAUUCGUUUAAUCUGUGGAAAAUCGACGAGAACUCGAUGGAAUUCAGCGAAAUCGCCAUCAUGCCUGAAGGGGUGUUGUCUGGAUUGGUGGAUAACGAGGAUGAGGACAGUACCAGGUUUGCGAGCUUGAAGUGCGUUGGAUUAGGGAAUCUGAUUUACGUUUUCAACGAGGAUAAUCACAAGAACUACCCAGCUUGUGUUUGCGAGAUCAAUGGAGAGAAAGGGAGUUGCAGAUGGAGGAAAAUGCCUCAGCUGCCAUCACCUGUUAACAAGUUCCAUAAAGUUGUGAGCUUUUGCUCGAACGUUUCGGCCAGCGAUGUCUUCCAGUUCCAGCCCGAGGGAACAGGGACACAGAUCGGUUCGAGGCAAGCUUGAGCUCGGUUCGGCUUCCCUUUCAUGUCACUGUGGAUCUACUGAGUAAAUGCAGACACUUUGUAUAGUCAUUCCCAUGUUGCAAUUCAAGUUUCUGGUACCCAAACUUGGCUACUUCAACUGUUAAAACGUUGUGCAAACCGUGUUUCCCGCUAUGAGUUCGAAUCAAAUUUGGGGAGGAAACUUAUAUUAUAAAUCACAUGACAGGAACAAUAGUAUUCAGACAUGAACAGAGAAGAGAAAGAAGAAUUUCGAGUCGGUGUGUACGGUACCACGUGGUAGGAGGGGUCAUUUCGGGUUUCGGUUUGGUUAUUUCGGUUAUAGAAAAACUAUGACUAUUCGGUUUUUAUAUCAACUUUGGUCUGGAUUCGUUUUUAUUGAUAUAAAACUCGUUUUUUUCAAAGAAAAUUUUGCUUUUUCGGAUAUUUUUUCAAAGAAAGUUAGUAACUUUGUGAAUCCCUUAUUUGCAAGUUUGUAACUUUUGGAAGUCUAUUUGUAGAUUCAGUUUGGUUUUACGCUCGAAUAAGAUGCGAUUCCUCAUAUACAUACGCUUUAUGUGUAUGUAUCCUUUUGUA